rnacentral:rRNA from 1 species
UACGAAGGGGGCUAGCGUUGCUCGGAAUUACUGGGCGUAAAGCGCACGUAGGCGGCUUUCUAAGUCGGGGGUGAAAUCCUGGAGCUCAACUCCAGAACUGCCUUCGAUACUGGAGAGCUCGAGUCCGGGAGAGGUGAGUGGAACUGCGAGUGUAGAGGUGAAAUUCGUAGAUAUUCGCAAGAACACCAGUGGCGAAGGCGGCUCACUGGCUCGGUACUGACGCUGAGGUGCGAAAGCGUGGGGAGCAAACAGG